rnacentral:miRNA from 1 species
CUAGGACACAUGUUUGAAACG